rnacentral:rRNA from 1 species
UACGGGGGGGGCGAAGCGUUGUUCGGAAUUACUGGGCGUAAAGGGCUCGUAGGCGGCCAACUAAGUCCGACGUGAAAUCCCCAGGCUUAACCUGGGAACUGCGUCGGAUACUGGAUGGCUUGAAUCCGGGAGAGGGAUGCGGAAUUCCAGGUGUAGCGGAUGAAAUGCGUAGAUAUCUGGAGGAACACCGGUGGCGAAGGCGGCGAUCCUGGACCGGGCACU